rnacentral:lncRNA from 1 species
AAUAAGUAAUAAGUGUUAGAUAAGGAGUAGCGACCUUAUUAUCUUAAGAAGAAAAAGUCCAGUGGAAAGGACUAUAUAAGUAGGCACAUGACACGAAGGUUAAUGCGGACAUUAACGCUCAAAGUAGGGGAGAAUGACACCUCCCUAAAGUGUGCAAAGAAGAGGUGACUAACAUGGGGAUUCCACCAUGAGGGAUGGAAGUAAAAAGUGAGUACCAAAAAGAAAAAAUUUCCGAGGUAAUGCAAGGACAGAACUUGGAGACGAUGACUUCUCAGGGAGGUCGUGGAGGACUAAGCCUUCGAGAACUCCCUCGG